AUGCAACUUAACUACAGAUUUCAAAUCAAGUGUAAUGAAACUGAGAACUCAACAAACAUUAGAAAUAAUGAGAAAGAGGCAGAGUUAAGAUCAAAGCGAGGUUUGCGUUUGGAAGAGAGUGAAGAGAGAGAAAAGAUAGUACUACUCUUGCAGUGUGAGGAGGUAAAGGGGAAUACAAGAGUUUGGAUUUGCGCAACAACAGAUUCAAGAUUCAGACACAACAUUUACGUUCUUUGUCUGUAA